CCACAAGAAGGAUGUGGAAAAAUUGGAGAGAGUCCGGCGAAGGGCAACAAAAAUGAUUAGGGGCUGGGGUACAUGAUCUACAAGGAGAGGCUGAGGUAGCUGGGAUU